GACAUGAUGAAGAGACCAGUGCUGGUAAUUUAGCUUCCUCAGCUGGAAACUGUAAACACCUUUGGGGCUAUCAGGCAUUUACAGCUGGGUGGAGAGUGCUCUUUGCCCUCAGUUUAGGAGGCCUUCUUGGCUCUAGCUACUGGCUGCCACCACAUGUCCCUCCUGGAGCUGUCACCUCCAGCUCCUGGGCCAGGGUGGUCUAUAAAAGCUUGAUGAAGAGACGUGCCCAAGAGGACCACGGGUUUCAAGAGGGGAAAUCAGGCUGAUGGGGCUGCUCGUUGUGCCUUGGUUCCCUUCCUGGGUCAGCCUGGUGUUGGUGUGCUGGCUUAGCAACUAAGGCUUUUCAACGCCGUGCCGCCUGCUCCUCCCGAGGCAGCUGCUGAAGCACUUGACCACUGGUGCCACUUUCUCGGCACGGCUCAAGUAUUGAAACAAGUACAUCGUCAUUUGUGGCUUUUUGUUUUUGUUUUUUUUUUUCCCACCUCCAGAUGAACAAAAAAAGACAUCUUCCACUUGCUGUGUGUCAGGCCUCCUGGGAUGGCUUAGCAUAUCCAAAAACGCAAUAAAGCCAUCCAGAUGCUUCACAGACACAAGACACCGUCUUUGCGCUGCUGCGGCUUUCAUACGACAGCCUCUGUUUUACCCUGGGUGCUCCUGCCCCUGUGCCACCGGGACACUGGGGAAGUGAGGUCAGAGACCCCCCUAUGCAACGUGGGGAUUUGCACUGUGUUGGGGGGGGGAUUAGGGCAGCCUCCCUGCUGCCCUCACGCUAAUCUUGGAGUCUGCUCACGGGGCCACGGCAGUCGGCCCCAGUGUGUGUGUCCCUGGUGGCUUAACGUGAGUGAAGAGGACACCGAAGCCCAGCAUUGCAUGGAGGAGACACCGCCACAGAGCUCACCAGCGGGCUCCGGCUUGCAGCUGCUUUCAAUAAUUCCCAUUUCCUGUGUGGCAGCGCUCAUUUCCUUCCAGAUCUCACUUGCCAGGGAGCGCAGCAACAUCUGCUCCCCCAGGUUUUGUCAGAGAUGACUUUCCUCACAGGAGAGCAGUCCAUUUUUUGUUUGAUUUGUCCUCUGAACAGUUGCUCUGAGUGAAGAAUUUCAACUAUCCCACUGCCUUCAGUGGAAGCCUAACAUCUUCUAUAGCCUCUUGGCACCUUCAAGGACUAAAGGCUUUUUUUACAAGCUAUUUCAUAAAGGCAUCACAUGGUGUUUAACAAGCUGGCACAACCCUCUGCAUGCACGCAAGCCUAGGACAUCCCCUUCUGCCCAAGGAGAGAUGGAGAACCCUGCUGCCACCCCCUGCCCACCCGGCUUUGGGAUAACGCGUCACAGGCUGCCAGGACUCUCAGGAACGACCCGCUCCAUCCACGUGCAGCUCCGACCUGGACACCUCUGGUAGCUGAAGGUUAAGUGGUUCGAGAUCCAGCUGGCUGACUUUAUAAAUGAACUCUGAAUCAGGCUUGCAAAGGUUGCACCUGUAACUCUGGCAGCACAGCUGCCUGUUACCCAUGCCCUUGAACCGCACUGGGCAGUAGGUGACAGAGGGUCAGGGAAACCAGCCUUUUCCUGCUGCAGUCAGGCUGAAGCCAGCCUGCUCUGCCACAACUUGUUUCAGAGCACAAAGUGCCCAAUGCUGAGCUUCAGCGGUGCUUGACCUAGGAUCUGGGUGACAGCCUCCUGGGGACCACACCGCUCCCGCCCCUGAUCUCUCACGCGAUGCUCAUCUGGUUUUUAAGACGCAAGUCUCAAUGUGCCAAUAAGUGUCCCUGAAAAUUAAAAGCAAGAUAAGCAAGCAAGAAAGAACAGCUGUAACACUAUCCGAGGUGCUAUUUUUUUUGUCCUCCCAGUAAUGUUGAAAAGGCGACAUUUGAUCCAGUUGCAUACCACCAGUUCAGGGAUGCAAAAAAUGUUAGCGGUCUUUUUUUUCUGGAACUACCGAUACCCAUGAAGAAAAGAUCCAAUCCUUGUGGUUUUCUCUUCCAAAAUAAUCAUGCCAGACAAUUCUGAACAGUUUAAUGCCAUUCGGCUGGGGUGCAUGGGAGGCCCAGAACUGAGCCAAAUAUUUGGAAGAUGACCAGCAGCAUUUCAGUGCAUGCAUCCCUCUGCUUAUCCUGGAAUACAGUGUAGUUAGGCUGAGGGCAUAAUCUUCAUAUUCCGGAUGUUUGCAGAAGAUUAUCACUCACUAGCAUGUGAACCCUGAUUGAUUAUUUCCAGUUCUAGUAAUCAUUAACAACAACUAGUAGUCUAAGAACAACUUUUUAUUUCAAAGGGUAGAAUUUAUCUGGCUUUGCAUCAAGCCACGCUACGUAGUUGUCACAUUUAUCUCUUCAGUCAUAUGGCAAUACAUCCUUCUGCUUGUGCUAUUCAACUCUGAAUUUCACCUUUCAUACUAAUAAAAUAUGUUGACACAUCAAGCAAUGUAACUGAUAGGUAAAGCAGAACAGAAUGAGUCACUGUUUUUAAACUUUUUUUUUAGCACAUGCUUUCUCUAUUAAAGUAUAUCAAUCAAAAGACAAAGAGAUACAAAUUCAGAGAGAGAUAACUAGAGGAAAAGGUUGUAGAAAUAUACAAGAUGAGAUAAACUGAAGCUGAACAGCACCAGAAUACAUAUAAUGAAAGUCCAAGAAAUAAACCAAAUGUAACUUCUUGACUAAACAUAAUUGUGACAGAGAAAUAAUUGUAAGUAAUAUAUGGCCUUCUUCAUUCUGAGAGCUUUCCCAAACCGUCUUUCUGUUCAUCUCCAGUACUAACAUUUAGAAUACCCUUGAACAUUUAAAUAAAAUGAAUAGAAGUAAUAAA